UACGGGGGGGGCAAGCGUUGUUCGGAAUUACUGGGCGUAAAGGGCUCGUAGGUGGCCAACUAAGUCAGACGUGAAAUCCCUCGGCUUAACCGGGGAACUGCGUCUGAUACUGGAUGGCUUGAGUUCGGGAGAGGGAUGCGGAAUUCCUGGUGUAGCGGUGAAAUGCGUAGAUAUCAGGAGGAACACCUGUGGUGUAGACAGCUUACUGGACCAUAACUGACGCUGAGGCACGAAAGCGUGGGUAGCAAACAGG
rnacentral:rRNA from 1 species